rnacentral:rRNA from 1 species
CAGUCUGCAACUCGACUGCACGAAGCUGGAAUCGCUAGUAAUCGCGGAUCAGCACGCCGCGGUGAAUACGUUCCCGGGCCUUGUACACACCGCCCGUCACACCAUGGAAGUCUGCAAUGCCCGAAGCCGGUGGCCUAACCACUUAUGUGGAAGGAGCCGUCUAAGGCGGGACAGAUGACUGGGGUGAAGUCGUAACAAGGUACC